rnacentral:rRNA from 1 species
CCUACGGGUGGCAGCAGUGAGGAAUAUUGGUCAAUGGCCGGAAGGCUGAACCAGCCAAGUCGCGUGAGGGACGACUGCCCUAUGGGUGGUAAACCCCAUCUAUAAGGGAAGAAUAAAUGCUACGUGUAGCAUGAUAGCUGUACCUUAUGACUAAGCAUCGGCUAACUCCGUGCCAGCAGCCGCGGUAAUACGGAGGAUGAGAGCGUUAUCCGGAUUUAUUGGGUUUAAAGGGUGCGUAGGCGGUUUUUUAAGUUAGUGAGUAAACGGCGGGGCUUCACCUUGAUUUGCCAUUGAUGCUGUAUGACUCGAGUUCAGACGAGGUAGGCGGAAGAAGUAAAGUAGCGGUGAAAUGCUUAGAUAUAACUUAGAACUCCGAUAGCGAAGGCAGCUUACCAGACUGCGACUGACGCUGAAGCACGAGAGCGUGGGUAGCGAACAGGAUUAGAUACCCGAGUAGUC